rnacentral:lncRNA from 1 species
UCCAGGUGGUUGUAGGAAACUCUCGCAGGCUUUCUUUCAAUCUUCUCGUGGCUUCAGAACUUUUCUCAUUCUUAUUAAUUGCAAAUGCCAUAUCUAUCCAGUAUCAGGUACACGCGGUAACAUCAUCCUCUCCCGCUGGAAUCCGUCUACAAAUUUCCUGAGCUAUGCCAUGAUUUCAUGCUUCACUUUGAAGUUAUCUUCCAUUCUUUUUUCUACUCUUUGGGCUCUCGACUAUUCUUUUACCUAUGAAUCUGCAAGCUGAGCAAAAGAUUCAAUAAAUUUUUUAGGUUAGAGUGAAUACCACAUUGAUGCUCCAUUUGUGAGGGUUUCGCCAAAUAUUUUCACCAAAAUUGAUUAAAUUUACUGCUUGGUUAAGUAAUUUCCCUUAUCUACUGUGGUAAAUGUAGUAACAUGAUCCCUUGGGUCAGUAGUCCCAUAAUUUUUAGGAAUAUCGGGCAUUUUAAAGUUUUUAGAAUGGGCAACGGUGUUGCAUUUGGCUUCCAAGGUUGUUGUGAAUAUUUGUCAAUAUCCACUUCUUGAUCACGUACGGUACUCCUGGUAUCCAUUUCAUCUGCUCCUUUUAUUCCUUGAGUUGUUUAUGCUAGGUUAGUACCGAACAUUUCGAAUUAGAAUUAUUUGGUGUACCUAGCCCUCCGACUCCAAAAUAGUUUGCCAUUUCUCCACUUCCUAAGUUUUCUAGUCCCGAGUGAGGGUUUUUUAGAGUUGUAUUACUGGGGAGGGGUCUGCACAACAAUGGGAAAUCCAUUUGAUAUAGCACGCAAAGCUUCACCAACUUGUAGAGCAAUUAUCUGCCUCAAGUUGUUACGCUCGUUUCUUUCCUCAUCCACUUGUUAAUCAGCAUUACGCGUAGUAGAUCUUUUAGGUGAAUUAUCUUGUGAGCAUUUUGGGGUUCCUAUGAGUGUAUGGUGUGGUGGAGUCCCACCUUAUUGCGU